rnacentral:lncRNA from 1 species
AUCACCACCACCGGCAACACCUACCACCACCUUCUCAACCAUCUAACCCACCACCAGCAUUACCAUCACCAGCGGUGCCGCCCUACAUCAACACCUUCUCAACCAUCUACCCACCACCAUCUUACCCACCACCAGCGGAGCCGCCCUACACACCACCUUCUCAACCAUCUAACCCACCACCAUCAUACCCACCACCAGCGGAGCCGCCCUACACUCCACCUUCUCAACCAUCCUACCCACCACCAGCAUACCCAACACCAGCGGAGCCGCCCUACACACCACCUUCUCAACCAUCUAACCCACCACCAUCUUACCCACCGCCAGCGGAGCCGCCCUACCCACCACCUUCUCAAUAAUCUAUCGCAGCCGAUUAUCACCGACUCGCAAUAGCGUCACCACUAAUACCGCCUUACCCACAAAUACCAACAUCGACAUCACCACCACCGGCCACCCUACCACCACCUUCUCAACCAUCUAACCCACCACCAGCAUUACCAUCACCAGCGGUGCCGCCCUACACACCACCUUCUCAACCAUCUACCCACCACCAUCUUACCCACCACCAGCGGAGCCGCCCUACACACCACCUUCUCAACCAUCUAACCCACCACCAGCAUACCCACCACCAGCGGAGCCGCCCUACACACCACCUUCUCAACCAUCCUACCCACCACCAGCAUACCCACCACCAGCGGAGCCGCCCUACACACCACCUUCUCAACCAUCUAACCCACCACCAUCUUACCCACCGCCAGCGGAGCCGCCCUACCCACCACCUUCUCAACCAUCUAACCCACCACCAGCAUACCCACCACCAGCGGAGCCGCCCUACACACCACCUUCUCAACCAUCUAACCCACCACCAUCUUACCCACCACCAGCGGAGCCGCCCUACACACCACCUUCUCAACCAUCCUACCCACCACCAUCAUACCCACCACCAGCGGUGCCGCCCUACACACCACCUUCUCAACCAUCUAACCCACCACCAUCUUACCCACCGCCAGCGGUGCCGCCCUACCCACCACCUUCUCAACCAUCUAACCCACCACCAUCUUACCCACCGCCAGCGGAGCCGCCCUACACACCACCUUCUCAACCAUCUAACCCACCACCAUCUUACCCACCGCCAGCGGUGCCGCCCUACACACCACCUUCUCACCCAUCUAACCCACCACCAUCUUACCCACCGCCAGCGGUGCCGCCCUACACACCACCUUCUCACCCAUCUAACCCACCACCAUCGUACCCACCGCCAGCGGUGCCGCCCUACGCACCACCUUCUCAACCAUCUAACCCACCACCAUCUUACCCACCGCCAGCGGAGCCGCCCUACACACCACCUUCUCAACCAUCUAACCCACCACCAUCUUACCCACCGCCAGCGGUGCCGCCCUACACACCACCUUCUCAACCAUCUAACCCACCACCAUCUUACCCACCGCCAGCGGUGCCGCCCUACUCACCACCUUCUCAACCAUCUAACCCACCACCAUCUUACCCACCGCCAGCGGUGCCGCCCUACACACCACCUUCUCAACCAUCUAACCCACCACCAUCUUACCCACCGCCAGCGGUGCCGCCCUACACACCACCUUCUCAACCAUCUAACCCACCACCAUCUUACCCACCGCCAGCGGUGCCGCCCUACACACCACCUUCUCACCCAUCUAACCCACCACCAUCUUACCCACCGCCAGCGGUGCCGCCCUACGCACCACCUUCUCAACCAUCUAACCCACCACCAUCUUACCCACCGCCAGCGGAGCCGCCCUACACACCACCUUCUCAACCAUCUAACCCACCACCAUCUUACCCACCGCCAGCGGUCACGCCCUACACACCACCUUCUCAACCAUCUAAACCACCACCAUCUUACCCACCGCCAGCGGUGCCGCCCUACUCACCAC